AUAUUACUUUAUAGUAAUUUAUCUUAGUCCAGGUGCAGUGCCUCACACCUGUAAUCCCAGCACUUUGGAAGGCUGAGCUGGGAGGAUUGCUUGAGGCUGGCAGUUCGAGACUUCUUCCAUUUUAAGGGACCUUGUGAUUACAGCUGGUCCAUCUGGAUAUUCUAAGAUACUCUUCCUAUUUUAAGGAGAGAAAUCUGAAAUCUGAGGUGCAGUUGAUUUGAAUCCAGGAAAUCUAAGGAAAAAGUUCAAGCUCUUAAUCAUUUCAUACCCUCCUUGUUGCUAACUUAAACUUUUUUUUUAAAAAAGUUAAUCUUGUCUAUGAAGCAUGAAUCUAUAAUACUAGGGAAAAAACUGGCUAACUUGAAGAAAAAAUAAAUUGAAAUGAAAAGCAAUUAAUUCCUCUUAAUAUGAAUAAAGGAUGAUCUAAAUGC
rnacentral:lncRNA from 1 species